rnacentral:lncRNA from 1 species
AAGAAGCGGACGGGCGCCUGGAAGACUGGUGGACAGUGUUGAAGAAAAGUUCAUGUUGAUCUGAGGUGAGAGAAGAAAAAGAAGUGACUAAAAGGAACAUUCCUGAACUCAGAACUGGAAAAGUGAUAUGUUGAGGUUGGGGGAGAUUUUUGACUUCCCUGGAAAAGAGAGUUAAAGAAAGACAAGUAGAAAAAACAACAACAACAGGUACAGUCUGUGUUUCUAAUUCAUUCUUUGACUUAAG